UCAACCCUGUGUGUCUCUGCAUUUCCAUGUUGGUGUCACAUUGCAUGCCUAUAUUCAGCCUCAUAUUCAGUCUUUGGUAAAGACAUAUGAGGGUUUGUUGCACCUUAUUGCACAAAUGGGUUAUUAAUUAUUUGCUCCUGGAUUUUAAAGUAAAACCAACCUGCUGCCUCAUUUACAAACUUGUUCUCGCAUUAUGAAAUGAGUCUAGUGAGAUGUGUUUCUUAAAACACUUGCCAGAAAGUGUGAAAAAUAGUGAAUAGAAAACAUGGGAUUGAUGGAUUCUGUAGACACAUGCCACAAGUCUCUGAUUUUCUUUGUUGCCAGUACUUUCUCAAUAUAUGGCACACCUGUUCAUCUCAUGAGGGCACACAGGUAGCACAGUGCAUUAGUUUAAUGUAUUUAUCAUUUAAUAUUAGCUGGUGUGCUCAAAUAAUUAGUUAAAUCUAUGCUUAAUAUGUGUGUGUGUACACAAAUGAGAUAAGUCUAACUGAGUUUUGUUCAGAUUUUGGGUAACAGAAAUUGAAUCAAAUCUUUUUAUGAGCAUGACAGGAGGAGAAAGCAAAGUAGCCAAGGAUGUGACGGACAGACAAGACAGCAAAAAAGCUACAGGAGAGGUGAAGCAAGGGAGCGCAUCAGAUGGACAGAUAAGACCAGAGUUAACACAGUUUGUCACAGUUCAAAAGAAGACCUAGUCAGACAAUAGAAGAAAAGGCCAUGAGAUCAGAGUUGGCCAGUUUUCUAGACUGAACAAAGUACUGGCAACACAGAAUCUGCCACAUAACUGCAUAUUAAUGUCAAGCAUCUUAUUUUUUUCUUAGGGUUUCAUACAGAGGUUAGAACUGUUGCUUCACAGCAAAACCAGACACAUUAGGUUAAUUGGUGGCGUGUAAUGGUGGAGUGUGAAUAGCUGUCUGUCUCUGUGUUAGCCCUGCCUGUGACCUGUCUAGGCAAAAUCUGUCUCCUGUGAUAUGACAGCUGGGUCAGGCGAUAGCCACAACAGGAUCCUGAAUAGAUAAGUAGAAAAGAGUGGACGAAUAGAUGGAAGUUUGGAAAGUUUGUGCAAUGAAAUGUUCCAACCAUUGCUGCCAAGAUGCUGUAUUGUCACCAGCAAGUCAGAACCUCAAUAGGAACUACAUUUCUUCAACCCGUCAUCUGUUAUAUGAAGAAAACUGCUCCCCCUGUCCUGUUAUUAGACUGUAAUGAAGAUUUUGUCUUUAAUUAAAUGCAAUUUUACCAAUACUGCCAGCUGUUUGCCUCUUUCUGUUAAGUCUUUCAGUGUCUUCAUGAGAUUUCUAUCCAAGUGUGCUCUUUUCUUUCACAAGUCCUGCUAGUGUCCUUGAAUGAGAGCUGCUUGUAUGAAUGAGCCAUGUCAUUUAGGAGAUAAAGACUGAGAGGAGAGACA